UACGUAGGGGGCAAGCGUUGUCCGGAAUCAUUGGGCGUAAAGAGCGUGUAGGCGGUUCGGUAAGUCCGCCGUGAAAGUCCAGGGCUCAACCCUGGAAUGCCGGUGGAUACUGCCGGGCUAGAGUCCGGAAGAGGCGAGUGGAACUCCUGGUGUAGCGGUGGAAUGCGCAGAUAUCAGGAAGAACACCAACGGCGAAGGCAGCUCGCUGGGACGGUACUGACGCUGAGACGCGAAAGCGUGGGGAGCGAACAGG
rnacentral:rRNA from 1 species